GCCCGUCAGUGUCGUUGCUUCGUAUUUGGCUCGUUGACAUACGUCACACUCUGCCACAAAACUUUUUACAUCAUUUUUCAUUCCUUCCCAAUAAAGGAUUGAAGAGAUCUUCUUAUAGGUGCAGAAAAAACCGAAAUGUUUGCCGAUAGGUGAAGAGUGGAAUUCUGACAAAAAUAGCUGAACCAACUUGGAAUUUUUUGGCACCACCAUACGGCCCUUGUAUAUUAAGUUUCUUUUUCUCAGCUCAUAUCCUGCAUGAGAGGCUUUUUAGGGCUCUUCGAAUAUUAUUGAAGGUUUAUGCGUGGCUACGGAAAGAUCGCAGAACCAUUAACUAAUCUAUUAAAAAAAAUUCUUUCAAGUGGAACGAAGAGGCACACGUUACAUUCGAAGCUAUUAAGAAGGCAAUGGUAACUGUCCCAAUACUUGCGUUGCCCGAUUUCACAAAGGAGUUCGUAGUAAAGAUCGAUGCUUCAGGUUCGGGGUUGGGAGACCUAUUGCUUAUCUAAGUAAGACACUAUCACCCAGAAACAAGGAGAAGUCAGUUUAUGAAAGGGAGAUUAUGGCAAUCGUCUUGACCUUGCAAAAAUGGUGUCAUUACUUGUUGGGAUGCCACUUCCAAGUAAGGACUGACCAGCGCAGCCUCAAGUUCUUAACUGAGUAGAAAGCAGUUAGUCACGAGCAACAGAAAUGGUUAGUGAAGAUGUUGGGAUUCGAUUUCGAUAUUGUAUACAAACCCGGAUGCGAAAACAAGGCAGCCGAUGCCCUGUCAAGGAAACUAAUUGAAGAUAGGGAAUUAAAGGUUCUUUCCUUUGCGAUUUCAGCUGGAGUGGACAAGAUUCAAGAGGAAGUUAUGAAGGAUAAGAGACUCAGGCAAAUUAUACAUGAUUUGCUCAAGGGAAUAGGCAUACAUGCUGGGUAUGAGUUGAAAAAGGGAAGCUUGAUGUACAGGGGACGAGUUGUAAUACCAAGAAAUUCCAGGUUGAUUUUUUUAUUCUUAAUAAAAUUCCAUUAUUCUCCCAUUAGUGGACAUUCUGGCUUUUUCUGCACCUACAAGAAGAUCUCUUCAAUUCUCUAUUGGGAAAGAAUGAAAAAUGAUGUUAAAAAAUUUGUGGCGGAAUGUGAGGUGUGUUAGCGGGUCAAAUACGAAGCAACGACACCGGCAGGCCCUCUGCAGCCUCUUCCCAUUCUCUCCAAAAUUUGGGAGGAUUUGUCAAUGGAUUUUAUUGUGAAAUUACCGAAAGUAAAAGGGUUUGAUACUAUAUUAGUGGUAGUGGACCAUUUAUCUAAAUACAGACAUUUUAUAGCCAUUCGUCAUCCUUAUACGGCAAGGAUAUUGCAAGGAUUUUUAUUAGGGAGGUUGUUAGGCUUCAUGGCUUUCCUUGGACAAUUGUUUCAGAUAAAGACCGUAUUUUUAUGAGUAGUUUCUGGUCAGAACUUUUCAGAACCUUCGAAAUGGUGUUUCCAUUUAACUUGGUUUACCACCCUCAAACUAAUGAGCAAACUGAAGUUGUAAAUCGAAGUCUAGAAACGUAUCUCAGGUGUUUCUGCUACGAACAACAGUGAACUUGGCCAAAUUGGUUGUCUUGGGCAGAAUAUUAGUUCAACACCACAUUUAAUUGUUCGACGAGUAUAACACCAUUCAAGGCAAUGUAUGGACGUGAACCGCCACCACUCUUGAGGUUCGUGGAAGAACUGUCUAAGGUCGAGGAGGUAGACGUGAUGAUAAAACAGCGAAAUGAGAUUCUAGAUAGGUUAAAGACUAAUCUUCAUAAUGCUCAAUAGAGGAUGAAAAGGAUGGCCAAUCGAAGCAGGCUUGAAGUUGAACUGUUAGUGGGAGAUCAAGUAUUCUUGAAGCUAUAACCCUACAGACUUCGAUCCUUAGCUUCGAGACCUAACGAGAAAUUGAGUCUUCGCUUUUACAGGCACUUCGAAAUAGAGAAAAAAAAUCAGGCAGGUGGCAUACAGACUAAAGCUCCCUGUAAUAGCAAAAAUUCACCCAAUUUUUCACAUUUCUCAACUAAAGAAACAGAUAGGUCCUUCAGUGCCCAGCUUACCUCUCCCUGACUGUUUGAACAAAGAAGGUGAACUGGAAGCACAGCCCGAAGAAGUUUUAGAUUUUCACUACUCGCAGCAUAGAGACUUGGAGUUACUUAUUAAGUGGCAUGGGUUAUAAGACUAUGAAAACUCUUAGGAAUUAUAUAAGAAUUUGAUUCAAGUUUUUGCAUGCUUGCACCAUGAGGACAAGGUGCCUUUGCAUGGGAGGGGUAAUGUUAGAGCUAGGGUCUAUGUCAAGAGAAAGAGAGGAGGAAGAAAGGCAAACUCGAAGGUGCAAAACAGGAAGCUGAUAGAAGACAUCACUGGUAAUAAUUCUGAAGAGCAAGUUAUUGGAGCGGAAGACAGCAAUCUUGAAGCAGAUGAUAAUAUGCUAAUAAUAUUAGUAAGCAAUCUAUGGGAGCCCCAGAUGGUAGCAUUCCAAAAGUGGCAAGGAUAGCAGACAUGUAGCAAAAGUUUAGGGACAUGCUGGGAGAAGAAUGAACUAUGAAGAUACUAGACGCUGAGUCGGCAUGCAAGGAUUGGGGAAACGACAGUAAGGUUUAAUGAAAUAGGGAGCUGAAGAAUAGAGGACGACAUCUUUUCGGAAGGAAAGAAAGAAGGAAUAGUGGAGAGAUCUAGCCUCUCGAAAGCUAGUGCAGUGCUGAGUUUUUUGUAUUUUGCUUGAGUUGCUUGUAAUCGUUUUUGUUGGGUCUAUAUUCAGUUCGGUAGGAAAUUAAUAUUGUUAUCGUGUGGGAUUAUCAUUUGUUUUUGUACCGGCAGAGGCAACCAGUGUGUAAUGCCAUUCAGACUUAUUUCUUAAUGAAAUGUUCAGCUUAAAUAAGUAUCUCUUGCUCUGUUUCCAUAAUAUUUACUGUUACAUCAAGACAGGAACAAAUAUACAUUUACAUUCGCGAAACAACUCUGGCUUGAAAUCAUUCCCUAACUGCAGUAGCGGAAGACGAGAGACACUUGUGCGGUAGUCGCAUCUUUCAAGUACCUAUCACAUGGUAUCAAAGCAUGACCAGGAUGGAGAGUCAGGUGGAAGGGCUUGAGAAGGAGGUAACGGAGGUUUAUGAGAGAUUGACAAGAAUGGGUAGCCGAUUGGAAGGUAUGGAUAAGGAAGAAAGGGAGAAAUUGAGCAACACUCAGGCGAGGCUGGAAGGGUUGGAGAACAACAUGAAAGUCAUGAAAUGAUAUCUCUGAGACCUCAAGGAAGUUAUGAUCGAGAAAGAGGGUGGCGACAAGGGUAAGACACCGAUGGACCCUGGGCCAUCCACAUUUCCAGUUAAAAACCACAGUAACGCAACACCAAAUGAGAAGCAAUCGACUCCUAUCCACAACCCACCAGCUAGGACAGAGGGAGAGGAUGGGGUUGAGGAAACGUCAGAGAUAGGGUAGAAGGAAGUUGACUGCCAAGGUGGGGCUCAUCGGGACGUUCAGUUUCGCCGACUGGACCUACCACUGUUUACUGGAGAGCAGAUAAUGCUAAAUGCUAUCAUCAUAAUUGUGCAGUUAUGGGAAGCCACACUUUCUCAUGCUCCUACAAUGGUGCCUCAAUUAUUGGCAUACUUUCCAUGUCUAGUUGAAAUUAUGGAAAGAAGUUUUGAUCACUUGCAGGUCAGACUUACUUAACAGGACUUCAUAUAAUGGCAAGACACAAAAGCAAGACAGAGAGGAAGACACAAAGCAAGGCAGCAGCUGGACCACUGUGAAAAUGCAGACACGUGGCAAAUAAAAUCAAGGGUAGUUAGAGGAGAAAGGGGUAUAAAAAUAGAAGAAAAGAAGGUGAGAGGGGGGAGACAUUUUUCAGGAAAAAGUAGGCAGCUUCGGUUGAGAAGGAGAGUACCUAGCCUCUCGAAAGCUAGGCCAUUUGGGGAGAGGAGAAAUAAGAAAAAGAAGCAGAGAAGGAAAGCCCAGCCUCUCGAAUGCUGGUGAAGGAGCCUUGAGCUUAGAGUUUCUUUCAGUGUUUAGUUUCCUGGUUUUAUCUUUUCUAUUGAACUCGUUUGUUAGAGAAAAUAGAGUUAUAUUCGAAUUCCUGGAUGUUAUUUUCAUUAGUGUCUUAGAUAUAUUCUGAAAUCUCAAUUUAUCGUUUGUUUUAAUACAACUCUCCUUACAGCAUUUACUGCUAUAUUGCUCUUGUAUCUGCUUUCAUCUGAUCGUUGUAUCAGCCAUAUACAUCAAAUCAGGAGCUUCCGAGCCGCUUACC